rnacentral:rRNA from 1 species
CAGAGAUGGCUGUUCCCUUGUGGUUGGUGUGCAGGUGGUGCAUGGCUGUCGUCAGCUCGUGUCGUGAGAUGUUGGGUUAAGUCCCGCAACGAGCGCAACCCUCGUUCCAUGUUGCCAGCGGGUUAUGCCGGGGACUCAUGGGAGACUGCCGGGGUCAACUCGGAGGAAGGUGGGGAUGACGUCAAGUCAUCAUGCCCCUUAUGUCCAGGGCUUCACACAUGCUACAAUGGCCGGUACAGAGGGCUGCGAGACCGCAAGGUGGAGCGAAUCCCUUAAAGCCGGUCUCAGUUCGGAUUGGGGUCUGCAACUCGACCCCAUGAAGUUGGAGUCGCUAGUAAUCGCAGAUCAGCAACGCUGCGGUGAAUACGUUCCCGGG